rnacentral:RNase_P_RNA from 1 species
GCAGUGGCACAGACAAUCGCUGGCAACCCUUGGGUUGCGGGAGGAAAGUCCGAGCUCCGCAGGGCAGGAUGCCGGGUAACGCCCGGUGGGAGUGAUCCCGAGGAUAGCGCCACAGAAAACAAACCGCCUCGUUCGCUUUGCGCACGGGGUAAGGGUGAAAAGGUGCGGUAAGAGCGCACCGGGCUCUCAGCAAUGAGGGUCGCACGGCAAGCCCCAUCUGGAGCAAGGCCAAACAGGAGAUGGACUGCCCGUCCCAUAUCUCCGGGUAGGCUGCUGGAGACGGCUGGUAACGGUCGUCCUAGAUGAAUGAUUGUCGCCGCUGUUUUGGGCAACCGAGCAGCGGAACAGAACUCGGCUUACGGGCCACUGCAGCA